rnacentral:rRNA from 1 species
AAUGGGUCAGCGACUUAUAUUCUGUAGCAAGGUUAACCGAAUAGGGGAGCCGAAGGGAAACCGAGUCUUAACUGGGCGUUAAGUUGCAGGGUAUAGACCCGAAACCCGGUGAUCUAGCCAUGGGCAGGUUGAAGGUUGGGUAACACUAACUGGAGGACCGAACCGACUAAUGUUGAAAAAUUAGCGGAUGACUUGUGGCUGGGGGUGAAAGGCCAAUCAAACCGGGAGAUAGCUGGUUCUCCCCGAAAGCUAUUUAGGUAGCGCCUCGUGAAUUCAUCUCCGGGGGUAGAGCACUGUUUCGGCAAGGGGGUCAUCCCGACUUACCAACCCGAUGCAAACUGCGAAUACCGGAGAAUGUUAUCACGGGAGACACACGGCGGGUGCUAACGUCCGUCGUGAAGAGGGAAACAACCCAGACCGCCAGCUAAGGUCCCAAAGUCAUGGUUAAGUGGGAAACGAUGUGGGAAGGCCCAGACAGCCAGGAUGUUGGCUUAGAAGCAGCCAUCAUUUAAAGAAAGCGUAAUAGCUCACUGGUCGAGUCGGCCUGCGCGGAAGAUGUAACGGGGCUAAACCAUGCACCGAAGCUGCGGCAGC